AACGUAGGAGGCGAGCGUUAUCCGGAUUCACUGGGCGUAAAGCGAGCGUAGGCGGUCGGGUAAGUCGGACGUGAAAGCCCCUGGCUCAACUGGGGGAGGCCGUUCGAUACUGCUCGGCUUGAGGGUGAGAGAGGAAAGUGGAAUUCCCGGUGUAGCGGUGGAAUGCGUAGAGAUCGGGAGGAACACCAGUGGCGUAAGCGACUUUCUGGCUCACUCCUGACGCUGAGUGCUCGAAAGCGUGGGGAGCAAACGGG
rnacentral:rRNA from 1 species